GACGAACGCUGGCGGCGUGCUUAACACAUGCAAGUCGAACGGCAAGGCCCUGCUAUUGUGGGGUGCUCGAGUGGCGAACGGGUGAGUAACACGUGAGUAACCUGCCCUAGACUUUGGGAUAACUUCAGGAAACUGGGGCUAAUACCGGACAGCAGCUCCCGCUGCAUGGUGGGGGUUGGAAAGUUUCGGCGGUCGGGGAUGGACUCGCGGCUUAUCAGCUUGUUGGUGGGGUAGUGGCUUACCAAGGCUUUGACGGGUAGCCGGCCUGAGAGGGUGACCGGCCACAUUGGGACUGAGAUACGGCCCAGACUCCUACGGGAGGCAGCAGUGGGGAAUAUUGCACAAUGGGCGGAAGCCUGAUGCAGCAACGCCGCGUGCGGGAUGACGGCCUUCGGGUUGUAAACCGCUUUCGCCUGUGACGAAGCGUGAGUGACGGUAAUGGGUAAAGAAGCACCGGCUAACUACGUG
rnacentral:rRNA from 1 species